CCGGUGUGUUGUGCUUUUUCUUCCCUGCCGUGUCUCCCCAUUAUUUGUCCGGCCUGCCCCUGCGGCGCCCAGAGGCUGUUCUGGCUGCAAGGCCGGUGGCAGACCCGGCCUGCGCUGGACGCUGCCCCGCUCAUAACGGGGACGGCGGCUGGCAGGUGUCGUUGUGUCCAUGAGAUCAUUCACGUGGACGCAGAGCUUCAUAAUUCAUUUGCUCUACCCUGCAACCUCGAGGAACAACCAGAUCUGGAAAGGUGGGCAGACUGUCAUUCACUGAGGAAAAGCCUGCCUGAAGAGACAGGGCUCCACCUGCUUGGACAAGGACAGGAAGGUGAAAACUUCUAUUUUCACGGAAGAGAUGCAGCAUACCGGGAGCGAGGUCCUCACAAAACAUCGUGUCAGGUUACCGGGUUUGUUUUUUCAUGGCCAAAACCAAAAAUUUUGUGUCCUUGUAAAAGCUAGAGUUAGUUCUUGUGGGCUGUGGGCCAUUUAUUUGUUUAUUUGUUUAUCUAUU